rnacentral:rRNA from 1 species
AUUGAACGCUGGCGGCAUGCUUUACACAUGCAAGUCGAACGGCAGCGCGGGGCGACCUGGCGGCGAGUGGCGAACGGGUGAGUAAUAUAUCGGAACGUACCCAGAAGUGGGGGAUAACGUAGCGAAAGUUACGCUAAUACCGCAUACGAUCUACGGAUGAAAGUGGGGGACCUUCGGGCCUCAUGCUUUUGGAGCGGCCGAUAUCUGAUUAGCUAGUUGGUGAGGUAAAGGCUCACCAAGGCGACGAUCAGUAGCUGGUCUGAGAGGACGACCAGCCACACUGGGACUGAGACACGGCCCAGACUCCUCCGGGAGGCAGCAGUGGGGAAUUUUGGACAAUGGGCGCAAGCCUGAUCCAGCAAUGCCGCGUGAGUGAAGAAGGCCUUCGGGUUGUAAAGCUCUUUUGUCAGGGAAGAAACGGCCGAGGAUAAUACCCUCGGCUAAUGACGGUACCUGAAGAAUAAGCACCGGCUAACUACGUGCCAGCCGCCGCGGUAA